CAUAGGUUAAUGAGGCGAACCGGGGGAACUGAAACAUCUAAGUACCCCGAGGAAAAGAAAUCAACCGAGAUUCCCCCAGUAGCGGCGAGCGAACGGGGAGCAGCCCAGAGCCUGAAUCAGUAUGUGUGUUAGUGGAAGCGUCUGGAAAGGCGCGCGAUACAGGGUGACAGCCCCGUACACAAAAAUGCACAUGCUGUGAGCUCGAUGAGUAGGGCGGGACACGUGGUAUCCUGUCUGAAUAUGGGGGGACCAUCCUCCAAGGCUAAAUACUCCUGACUGACCGAUAGUGAACCAGUACCGUGAGGGAAAGGCGAAAAGAACCCCGGCGAGGGGAGUGAAAAAGAACCUGAAACCGUG
rnacentral:rRNA from 1 species